AUUGAACGCUGGCGGCAGGCCUAACACAUGCAAGUCGAACGAGUGGCGGACGGGUGAGUAAUGUCUGGGAAACUGCCUGAUGGAGGGGGAUAACUACUGGAAACGGUAGCUAAUACCGCAUACCAUCAGAUGUGCCCAGAUGGGAUUAGCUUGUUGGUGGGGUAACGGCUCACCAAGGCGACGAUCCCUAGCUGGUCUGAGAGGAUGACCAGGCAAACUUGAACCGAGACACGGUCCAGACUCCUACGGGAGGCAGGAGUGGGGAAUAUUUCACAAUGGGAGCAAGCCUGAUGCAGCCAUGCCGCGUGUAUGAAGAAGGCCUUCGGGUUGUAAAGUACUUUCAGCGGGGAGGACUUACCCGCAGAAGAAGCACCGGGUAACUCCGGGCCAACAGCCGCGGUAAUUC
rnacentral:rRNA from 1 species